rnacentral:rRNA from 1 species
GCGUGGGUAACCUGCCUCAUACAGGGGGAUAACAGCUGGGAAACGGCUGCUAAUACCGCAUAAGCGCACAGUACCGCAUGGUACCGUGUGAAAAACUCCGGUGGUAUGAGAUGGACCCGCGUCUGAUUAGGUAGUUGGUGGGGUAACGGCCUACCAAGCCGACGAUCAGUAGCCGACCUGAGAGGGUGACCGGCCACAUUGGGACUGAGACACGGCCCAAACUCCUACGGGAGGCAGCAGUGGGGAAUAUUGCACAAUGGGGGAAACCCUGAUGCAGCGACGCCGCGUGAGCGAUGAAGUAUUUCGGUAUGUAAAGCUCUAUCAGCAGGGAAGAAAAUGACGGUACCUGACUAAGAAGCCCCGGCUCACUACGUGCCAGCAGCCGCGGUAAUACGUAGGGGGCAAGCGUUAUCCGGAUUUACUGGGUGUAAAGGGAGCGUAGACGGCAUGGCAAGCCAGAUGUGAAAGCCCGGGGCUCAACCCCGGGACUGCAUUUGGAACUGUCAGGCUAGAGUGUCGGAGAGGAAAGCGGAAUUACUAGUGUAGCGGUGAAAUGCGUAGAUAUUAGGAGGAACACCAGUGGCGAAGGCCGGCUUUCUGGACGAUGACUGACGUUGAGGCCUCGAAAGCGUGGGGGAGCAAACAGGAUUAGAUACCCUGGUAGUCCACCGCCGUAAACGAUGAAUACUAGGUGUCGGGUGGCMAAGCCAUUCGGUGCCGCAGCAAACGCAAAAAGUAUUCCACCGUGGGAGU